rnacentral:rRNA from 1 species
UACGGGGGGAGCAAGCGUUGUUCGGAUUUACUGGGCGUAAAGGGCGCGUAGGCGGCCAGCGCAAGUCAGUUGUGAAAUCUCCGGGCUUAACUCGGAACGGUCAACUGAUACUGCGCGGCUAGAGUGCAGAAGGGGCAACUGGAAUUCUCGGUGUAGCGGUGAAAUGCGUAGAUAUCGAGAGGAACACCUGCGGCGAAGGCGGGUUGCUGGGCUGACACUGACGCUGAUGUGCGAAAGCUAGGGGAGCGAACGGG